UGCUUUAAUUGGAACAGUUAAGGAAUAAUUAUUUAUUAACCUAAGAUGGCUUUUUACUAACUAAUGGAAAGUUUUAUUGUGUUGAAUUUGUGUAUGAAAAUGGAUGAUGUUUUACAAAAUAAUGAUUUAUCAAGCUUUUUUACCAAUCCAUGUGAUUUAAAGAGUUUGAAUAUUUUUUAUAUUAAAAAAUUUUUAUUAAAUUUUUAAAGAUUUUUCUUGUAAAUUUGUAUAAAAAAGAAUUAGUGCUUGCUCCUUUAGUCCAUGAUAUUGGUUGGUAGAAGGAUCAACAUAAAAAUUUAGCAAAUUUUAGCAACUGUAUAAUUUGAAAAAGUAUUGUAGGGCAAGCAAAAUGUUCAUUCGAGCUGUUUGGAUAGAAAAUACAGAGAAAUAAAGAGAGAAAAUUUGAUUGAUAAUUUUUUGUGCUGGCCAUCGUCAUUAAAUGUAAUAAAUUGUUUCAAUGAAAUGCAUAAACAGCAUCUAACCAAUACAGAUUUAUGGUGCUUAAAAUUAAAUGUCAUGGAGAUAAUGAGCCACUACCAUGCUUAUGCAAGAGAAAACAUAAUAAUCAACAGAAUAGUAAGCAAG